rnacentral:siRNA from 1 species
GCAAGUCUAGAGCUGUCAAAUGGU